rfam:Helianthus annuus linkage group 9, whole genome shotgun sequence.
GUGUAGCUACGAUAUUGGCCUGGUUCACUCAGAUAUCUUAAAACCUGUUAGGGUUUUAAUCUGAUUGAGCCGUGCCAAUAUCUUAGUAUACUUU